rnacentral:rRNA from 1 species
GACGAACGCUGGCGGCGUGCUUAACACAUGCAAGUCGAACGGAAAGGCCCUGCUUUUGUGGGGUGCUCGAGUGGCGAACGGGUGAGUAACACGUGAGUAACCUGCCCUUGACUUUGGGAUAACUUCAGGAAACUGGGGCUAAUACCGGAUAGGAGCUCCUGCUGCAUGGUGGGGGUUGGAAAGUUUCGGCGGUUGGGGAUGGACUCGCGGCUUAUCAGCUUGUUGGUGGGGUAGUGGCUUACCAAGGCUUUGACGGGUAGCCGGCCUGAGAGGGUGACCGGGCCUAUUGGGGACGGGAGGACGCCCCAGCCCCCUAGGGGAGGCAGCGGGGGGAAAUAUGGCACAGGGGGGGGAAGCCUGAUGAAGCACCCCCGGGGGGGGGAUGGCGGCCUUGGGGUGUAAAACCGUUUUCGCCGGUGACGAGGGGGGAGGGACGGUAAGGUAUAAGAAAGCCCCGGCUAACUACGUG